GAUAACAUUUCGCGACUGUAUUUUAGCGUAUACAAACCGCUAAGUGGGAACCAAGUUUCUAUCGAGGUUUAGAAUAAGAAACGGAAUAAGAAAGUAAAGUAGUGCACUUGUGAAUUAUAUGCCGCUUGUAGUCACAUCAUUAGGUGGCGCGAAUUAAUUAGAAUAAUAAAUCUUCUUUGAUUGAUAGUGUAGAAUAACCUACAGCUAACACCACAUAGAUCCGGCAAAGCCGAUGCCAGCUGACGUUUGCCAAACUGGGUGAUAGGGCAAAGAAGAAGGUUGCACUGAAAAAUUCUUUAGCUUAUCCACCUAUCUGGACGGUUUUGAUUUGCUGAAAGAAUUUCAGCCCACGACCAUUUGCUCUACCCUUCGGCAACAGUCACAAAAUAA